rnacentral:lncRNA from 1 species
GGCUGGUCUCACUCCCACCGUGCCCCACCUAAAAGCACCGCCUCUGUUUCCAGGCAGUGGGCAAGCAGGGCUGAGGACCUACCCCAGACUACCUACCUCCCAGCUACAAAAGAAUAGGGCUUUAGUUCUUCCUCUGCCUGUGGAGUCUGCAGGCCAGAUUCAUGCCUUCCCCUGAGUUCUGGCCAGGAGGCUUCUGGAGUGUUUCAAAUUGUUACAAAGUUCAGCUGGAGGUUUCCUUCUCCCUGUGGCAUUUUCCCCACACCUCUGGCUUCCCUCCCAAAGGAUCCCUGUGAUGCCAGGCAGGAAUAGCCUGCUUCAGGACCCAGUCAACUUCCAGGGCCUUUCCUGGUGCUUCUUCUACCCUUGUGUUUCGCUCAGCUCUCUAAAUUGACUCAGCUACAGAGAAUCCGACAACAGCUGCUCCAGCUGACACGUAUCCAGCUACUGGUCCUGCUGAUGAUGAAGCCCCUGAUGCUGAAACCACUGCUGCUGCAACCACUGCAACCACUGCUGCUCCUACCACUGCAACCACCGCUGCUUCUACCACUGCUCGUAAAGACAUUCCAGUUUUACCCAAAUGGGUUGGGGAUCUCCCGAAUGGUAGAGUGUGUCCCUGAGAUGGAAUCAGCUUGAGUCUUCUGCAAUUGGUCACAACUAUUCAUGCUUCCUGUGAUUUCAUCCAACUACUUACCUUGCCUACGAUAUCCCCUUUAUCUCUAAUCAGUUUAUUUUCUUUCAAAUAAAAAAUAACUAUGAGCAACAUAAAAA